UUGUUUGUGGCUCAUUCGGUAGAGCAAUGCACUGUGAAUGCAUCGGUAUAUCCGUAGCGGGUUCGAGUCCCGCCAAACAAA
rnacentral:tRNA from 1 species